rnacentral:SRP_RNA from 1 species
UCGUGCUAGAUGGGGAAUUAGCGGAGCCCUGUACCUGCAAUCCGCUAGAGCAGGAUUGAAUUCCUUACUUAGGGAUAGGAUUUCAUCUCUCUAGUAGGUUUGAUUAUGUUGAUGUUUGGGCCUCACGCGACAGAGCCCCACGAACCCCGCCAGGUCCGGAAGGAAGCAACGGUAAGUGGACCGCUUUGGGUGCCGUGAGAACACUCAGACUGAGUGAUGAAAUCUGUUAUGAAUGGUUAUUGAGUUACGAAGUGAGGUGCACGA